UAGCUCAGCCGGUUAGAGCGUCGGAUUCAUAACCCGGAGGUCGGGAGUUCAAGUCUCCC
rnacentral:tRNA from 1 species